UAUAUGGACAUUUUUAAAAUCCUGUUCUUGGAUACAGAAAUGAUUAGCAUGGCCCCUAAGCAAGGAUGACAUGAUAAUUCGCGAAGCGUUCCUUUUUCUU
rnacentral:snRNA from 1 species